UACAGAGGGUGCGAGCGUUAAUCGGAAUUACUGGGCGUAAAGCGUGCGCAGGCGGUUUUACAAGACAGGUGUGAAAUCCCCGGGCUUAACCUGGGAACUGCACUUGUGACUGUACGACUGGAGUACGGCAGAGGGGGAUGGAAUUCCGCGUGUAGCAGUGAAAUGCGUAGAUAUGCGGAGGAACACCGAUGGCGAAGGCAAUCCCCUGGGCCUGUACUGACGCUCAUGCACGAAAGCGUGGGGAGCAAACAGG
rnacentral:rRNA from 1 species